rnacentral:misc_RNA from 1 species
GGAAGUGAAAGUCGUAAUAAGGUUUCCGUAGGUGAACCUGCGGAAGGAUCAUUACAGAGUUCAUGCCCUCACGGGUAGAUCUCCCACCCUUGAAUAUUUAUACCUUAGUUGCUUUGGCAGGCCGUGGAAACACCAUGGGCUCCGGCUUAUGCGUGCCUGCCAGAGGAAACAAACUCUGUUUUUAGUGAUGUCUGAGUACUAUAUAAUAGUUAAAACUUUCAACAACGGAUCUCUUGGUUCUG